CCUUUGGCGUGCUGCGGGGAGGAGAGGUUUAGGGAAAAGGCGGCCGUGUUAAAUAAGCUGUGCGCCUUCCGCAGGCGGGGUAAUCGACAGAUUGGAUGCUUCGGAAUUACCUUUAUUACUGGGAAUUGAGGAACCUCAGGGCAGAGAGGACAAGCGGCCUGCGCCGGGGUCCGCACGCAGACACCGUAGGGCCGGUAAGGAAUAUAACUCGGAGAACUAGCCGCUAACCGUGUCGGCAGCCCCCAGGGACUUGUAUGUGGGCGCGGGCCGUGGCUUUCCCACCGACCGGAGCGUAUGUGGUCAUUCUCACCCGUCAGUUCAACUUGGCAGCAAAACGGUGCUUACAGGAGGAGGCACGAGUUGGCAACGAAGUUGUUAAACAUUGCUUGCUAGGGGCUUACCGAAGACGCCACUGAGAUUGUACGAGGAUAUGAGCAAACAGAUGUUCCAGCGCACAGUGAAAGUCCAUUAAGCAGGUUAUUCCGUUAUUUGCAAGAGUAACACCUGACCAGUCUUCUUUUCCUCUGUCACCUUCUUUUUGAUAAACUGCUUCCAAACAAACUAAGGCUAUGUGAAUUCAAAAAUGGGAUUCGUGACUUCUUCGUAUGAGACUUGUGAUAGAUCGCAGAUUUCUGUUUUGAAAGACCGAGAGACUGAAGUUGCGUGCCCUGCACACCGAGAAAAACCCGCCCAGAACUGACUCUUGCUACUAACACGGUUUUUCUGUCACGGAUGCGGUGCGAGCGCAUCUCUCCUGUUCUGUGGACGUGUAACCAGGCACAAGCGAGGGGCCUGGCGGGUGAUCCUCGUCGGUGGAGGAGGCAGAGAGCGGGCAGAGCGGCAGGCACGGCACGACGGAGCAAAAGCUCCUCUCAGCUGGCCCACAGCCCCAGCCAUCUUACUCACAAGUCCCGUCCCCAGCUACAGCCCCGGUAUAUAUGCCAGCUGACACAGUCACACACCUCUCGCUACGUGACCACCCGUAGAGCAGCUCUGCGUGUCUACAGAGGAAAAAGUCGAGAGCGCUAAUUGCAAAGCUUCUCGUUCAUCCAGUCGUGGGAAAAAAUGUGGAAACCUGGUAUGGGUGUGUGCUGAAGGUUCAGAAACCAAGAUGCCAUGAAAAGAAUCACCUCUGGACAGUGCAAAAGACUGUGCCAAAAGACAAAACUGUCAUUGUGACAUGUAAGAAAAACGCCUGCUCAUCAUGCAAACCCCCAUUAGUUUUAAAGAAAAAUUUAAAUUCCCCAGGUUUCUUUUUAGAGCCUGAGAUACUGCACCCAAGAACACUGAUUUAAGUAUAGUGCAGGAUCAGUGCCAAAGGGACUUCUACUGUACCCAAAACACAAAGUUAUAAAAUCAAGGCCUGGCUGGAUUUUUUUUCCCAACAUUAAUUUUCAUAACUUUUAUACCCCAAAUUAUUUGCAUGCAUGAUAUAGAUGAUUUGUGGAUGCAGGCAGAUAAUUAGUUAUGUCUAAAUCCCAAAUUCAUCAAAUUGCAUAAUUACAAAUGACAGAUAAGAUGUAUUAGCUUACAGAAAUAGGGUUCUAAUGACCUAAAAUACGUCUUCAAAGAUAAUAAUGGAAAAUCACAGUCCUUUUAUUUCCAGCAUAUGGAAAUUAAUGUAGUUUUAUUAUGUGAAACUGUUAAUUUUGCGUUUGCCCCAAAUUCUGAGCAGAAUUCAACAAUUCAACACGGCCUAGUGUUGAUAAACUGUAAUUGUAAGUUGCUUGAAAAAAAUAAUCUGGAAGCAACUGUGAACUCAUAAAUAUCAGUGCAAGUUCUAAGUAUUGGGAAGAAAUUAUUCAGUUGAAAAUGCUAAGAGCAUCCUGAAUGUUGUCCAAAGACUAAUCUGGAAAAAUUACAGGUCAAUACUGAAUAUUAAUUGCAUUUUCUGUAUCUUGCUCCAGAGAUUUGACAGGAGACAUAAUUUGGAGAUACAAUUCGGAUUUAAAUACUCACUGCAUUUUAAUGUGGAAUAAGCAGUUCUUCUCCUUCCCUCUUUUAUUUAUUAUAAACAGAGAACCUUUGAGGCAUGAGGGAGGCAUUCAUACAGGAAUUCAAGGAAUCUUCCCAGCGAAGGAGGAAAUCAAAAAUUAAAAUACGAGAAGUAAAGAGAGUUUGAUUAGUUGAACAGUAAAGAAAGAAAACUCGUGCCCACUUUGAGCCUUUCUGUCCAGCCUCCAAGGAGAGAGGAUAUUCAGAAAUUCAGAUGCAAAUAAAAACAUGCUAUCAGUACAAGUCCAGCUGAGGUCCCAUAACUCCCUGAAUAAAUUGCUCAGUUGCAUCGCCGUGGAAGGAUCUUGGGGAACUAGCAUGGCUGUUUCCUGUAGCUUGAGACUAGACAAGACCUCUGUCUCCAGAGAGGAUGUGGGGAAAACUUGCCUCAGUCAGAUACAUAGCACACUGUGUGCUUUCAUUAAUACCAGUUCCUGUUGCAUGCUAAAAAAGAAAGUAGUGCUUGCUGUUUUGCACAAAAUCUUCUGUUUCUCCCCUUACAAGUAAGAUUUAGGGAGGAGAUAGGAUGAGAAUAAGAUAAACAAGGCACGUGAUCUUUUUAGACAAUUCUAACCAUUCUACCCCUCAAACACCAAAGUACCAACCCUCCUGGUGGAAAUGCAGAUGGAUUCACAGUCAGCAGGUUCUGCGUGGAAGAAGCCGCUGGCUGGCAACAGAAAAGCAAGCUAAUCCAGACUUCAGUGCGUAUUUCAUUAUAACAGGAGACUUACCGCUACUCAUUCCCUUGGAGAGAAAUGCAACUAACCAGGCUGACCACUCAAGGAUAAAAUCCAAGCCCUAUGCAAGUCAUUAGAGAUUUCACCACUAACCUCAGCUGUGUCAAGAUGGCACGAAACCUGCUGAAAGACAAACCGGCCUGAGACAAAAGGAAGAAGCUGUAAAGUAUAAGGCCCGUCAAUCUGAUUCAUUCACACUACCGAGUUCUUUUGGAACCUUUUUGUAAAAUAUUCUUACCCUUCUUACUAAUCUUACUUAUUCUGAAAAAAUACCUCUAGUAAUAUAUCACUAAAUAAUUGCAGCAUAGUCUCUGAGA